GACGAACGCUGGCGGCGUGCUUAACACAUGCAAGUCGAACGGAAAGGCCCUUCGGGGUACUCGAGUGGCGAACGGGUGAGUAACACGUGGGUGAUCUGCCCUGCACUCUGGGAUAAGCCUGGGAAACUGGGUCUAAUACCGGAUAGGACCGCAUGCUUCAUGGUGUGUGGUGCAAAGCUUUUGCGGUGUGGGAUGAGCCCGCGGCCUAUCAGCUUGUUGGUGGGGUAAUGGCCUACCAAGGCGACGACGGGUAGCCGGCCUGAGAGGGUGACCGGCCACACUGGGACUGAGAUACGGCCCAGACUCCUACGGGAGGCAGCAGUGGGGAAUAUUGCACAAUGGGCGCAAGCCUGAUGCAGCGACGCCGCGUGAGGGAUGACGGCCUUCGGGUUGUAAGCCUCUUUCAGUAGGGACGAAGCGAAAGUGACGGUACCUACAGAAGAAGGACCGGCCAACUACGUGCCAGCAGCCGCGGUAAUACGUAGGGUCCGAGCGUUGUCCGGAAUUACUGGGCGUAAAGAGCUCGUAGGUGGUUUGUCGCGUUGUUCGUGAAAACUCACAGCUUAACUGUGGGCGUGCGGGCGAUACGGGCAGACUAGAGUACUGCAGGGGAGACUGGAAUUCCUGGUGUAGCGGCGGAAUGCGCAGAUAUCAGGAGGAACACCGGUGGCGAAGGCGGGUCUCUGGGCAGUAACUGACGCUGAGGAGCGAAAGCGUGGGUAGCGAACAGGAUUAGAUACCCUGGUAGUCCACGCCGUAAACGGUGGGUACUAGGUGUGGGUUUCCUUCCUUGGGAUCCGUGCCGUAGCUAACGCAUUAAGUACCCCGCCUGGGGAGUACGGUCGCAAGACUAAAACUCAAAGGAAUUGACGGGGGCCCGCACAAGCGGCGGAGCAUGUGGAUUAAUUCGAUGCAACGCGAAGAACCUUACCUGGGUUUGACAUGCACAGGACGUAUCUAGAGAUAGGUAUUCCCUUGUGGCCUGUGUGCAGGUGGUGCAUGGCUGUCGUCAGCUCGUGUCGUGAGAUGUUGGGUUAAGUCCCGCAACGAGCGCAACCCUUGUCCUAUGUUGCCAGCGGGUAAUGCCGGGGACUCGUAGGAGACUGCCGGGGUCAACUCGGAGGAAGGUGGGGAUGACGUCAAGUCAUCAUGCCCCUUAUGUCCAGGGCUUCACACAUGCUACAAUGGCCAGUACAGAGGGCUGCGAAGCCGUAAGGUGGAGCGAAUCCCUUAAAGCUGGUCUCAGUUCGGAUUGGGGUCUGCAACUCGACCCCAUGAAGUCGGAGUCGCUAGUAAUCGCAGAUCAGCAACGCUGCGGUGAAUACGUUCCCGGGCCU
rnacentral:rRNA from 1 species